CCCUGCUUCAGUUCUAAAAACUGUACUUCUAACUGGCUUUUCAAACUCUCUGAGAAAUAGGUCUCGAAGAAAAUCUCUUUAAACCUUUCCCAAGUCAUAAUUCCUGGUCCCUCCCGAGUUUUAUUGGCCUGCCACCAAUAACUGUGGCGACCCCAAAUCCGGGUACUUGCAACCCGAACUCGGUUCUCCACGAUACCAUUUCUUUAAGCUGAAUAAUACUAAAUAAUAAUACAUUCGAACUUAAUUUACAUACAUCAAAGUUUACUUCCCCAGGUACGUGACCUUCAAAUACAUUCCUUACAAUACCUGACAAUAGAUUCCAUUGUCUUACUAACUAUAACCAUUAACUCAUACUAAAUCUCAUUCGAACAGCUUUUCUUUUCCCUUGUUCGUGCCUGAGCCUUCAGGUCGAUCGUACGUAACUGAAAACAUUUAGUUUAAGCAAGGAUGAGCAUUUGAGUGCCCAGCAAGUAAUAGCAAUUAUAUAUAUAAGCUGAAAGAAUAUAAGUAUUCUCUUUACAUAACACUUCUACAACGAAUCAAAAGUUGUGAAGUAAUCUGUACUGAUAAAAGAUUCACAUAACAACUCUCUUUCAAUUUCUUGAAAUUAGGCUCCACCCAUGAAUAGGGUUUAAGAAACAUACUAUGAACAUGGUUUUUCAUUUUCGAAAAGGUUUAGCAGAAAUUCAUCCGCAAACCGUCAUAACUUACGGGCACGGAGGGUGAUCAGCCCCGUUGUACCCUGUAUUGAUCAAUACUACAUAACUUGAACGAAAUUCAUCGCUCACCCUUUGUCCGCCGAAGCGCAUAAAAAUUUUCCCAUUAUCGGGAUGUUCAUACAUGCCUGGUUCCAAACCCGAAGGUUUUUAAUCUUGCUCAACAAUAAUAUGUAAUUCAACAUAUAUGUAUACGGGUAAUUGACAAAGGUAUAUCAACAUGUGAAUAAAUGCCAUGAUUAUCCAAGUGGGGACACUUGUAUAACCAUUUAGAAAUCAACUUAACAGAAUAUAUAUCUGAGCUAACAUGUUGAUAAUCAAAGCGUACAUAAUCUGUACAGGAAUAGAAUAAUUCUGAAACUUCUUACUCAUGUCCAUUGCAUAAAGA
rnacentral:lncRNA from 1 species